rnacentral:lncRNA from 1 species
UUUCAUCAAUAUGUUCCGCAACCAUUUCAUAUCCAUAGCAAUUCCGAGGAUCAUCGUACAUAUCUCCUCAUAUUAAACGUGAUUGUGCUAAUCGUUACCAUCCUGAAUUGCAUUUGCUCGAUAGUAGAAUCAAAUUAAUUUUGCCACCUCCAUUUCAAAGAGGAUGACUUUUAUCUUAAUAUUUUUGGGAAAAACAAGUGUUAGCGGUGUUUUUGUAUCGGGACAAAGAAUGUAAGUGGGAUGGUUCUAAUAAAGGUCAAAUAUGUAUUGUGGAACCCAGCUAUCGAAGAAUUCGUUGUCAUUCCUCCUAGCCCCGAUGAGCUUGUACCAAAACACCCUCGCCUUGGCGUGUUUUCAUGACUUUCAUGGGUUUGGUUAUGACCAAGUAAGAGAUGACUUUAAGGUGAUUCAAUAUGU